UACGGAGGGUGCGAGCGUUGUCCGGAAUCACUGGGCGUAAAGGGCGCGUAGGCGGCUUGGGAAGUCUGUGGUGAAAGCUCGUGGCUCAACUGCGAGUCGGCCAUAGAUACUCCUAAGCUCGAGUCGACUAGAGGCAGAUGGAAUUCCGGGUGUAGCGGUGGAAUGCGUAGAGAUCCGGAAGAACACCGGUGGCGAAGGCGGUCUGCUGGGGUCGAACUGACGCUGAGGUGCGAAAGCGUGGGGAGCAAACAGG
rnacentral:rRNA from 1 species